UACAGAGGGUGCGAGCGUUGUCCGGAAUCACUGGGCGUAAAGGGCGCGUGGGUGGCGACCCAAGUCGAUGGUGAAAGCUCGCCGCUCAACGGCGAGUCGGCCACUGAUACUGGGUUGCUGGAGCACUGUAGAGGCAGAUGGAAUUCCGGGUGUAGCGGUGGAAUGCGUAGAGAUCCGGAAGAACACCGGUGGCGAAGGCGGUCUGCUGGGCAGUUGCUGACACUGAGGCGCGACAGCGUGGGGAGCAAACAGG
rnacentral:rRNA from 1 species